CGGGGUGAGCUCCCGUUGCUCGGUCCCUGCUCCUGCCAACCUAGCAGUUCGAAAGCACAUCAAAGUGCAAGUAGAUAAAUAGGUACUGCUCCGGCGGGAAGGUAAACGGCGUUUCCGUGCGCUGCUCUGGUUCGCCAGAAGCGGCUUAGUCCUGCUGGCCACAUGACCCGGAAGCUGUACGCCGGCUCCCUCGGCCAGUAAAGCGAGAUGAGCGCCGCAACCCCAGAGUCGGCCACGACUGGACCUAAUGGUCAGGGGUCCCUUUACCUUUACCUACUUCAAUGUUUGGGGCAUCUCUUCUGCUUAGAGUCCCUCCCGCCUAAGGAUUUCUCCCAUUUGUGAGAAAUCAAUCUUUUAGAGUGGCAGCGCCUGAACUUUGGAACUCCACGCCUAUUGAUGCCUGGCAGGCAACUUGACUGUACCUUUUUUUGGUGUGUGUGUCUGCUAAAAACAUUUUUGUUUAGGCAAGCCUCUCCAGAUGUGUAGAACACCGAUUUGCGUCGUAAUCUGGCUUCUAGCUUAUCUCUGUUUUCUAUUUCUUGGGAGGGAAUGUUGCUUUUAUCUGGUUUUAACAAUGAGUACAUUUCUUUGUUCCUUUUGCAAAGCACUUCAAAAAAAUUUUUUGGUUUUUAAACACACACACACACACACACACACACACACAUAUAUAUAUGUAAUGGGACGUGGGUGGCGCUGUGGGUUAAACCACAGAGCCUAGGACUUGCCGAUCAGAAGGUCGGCGGUUCGAAUCCCCGUGACGGGGUGAGCUCCCGUUGCUUGGUCCCUGCUCCUGCCAACCUAGCAGUUCGAAAGCACUUCAAAGUGCAAGUAGAUAAAUAGGUACCGCUCCAGCGGGAAGGUAAACGGCGUUUCCGUGCGCUGCUCUGGUUCGCCAGAAGUGGCUUAGUCCUGCUGGCCACAUGACCCGGAAGCUGUACGCCGGCUCCCUCGGCCAAUAAAGCGAGAUGAGCGCCGCAACCCCAGAGUCGGCCACGACUGGACCUAAUGGUCAGGGGUCCCUUUACC